AGCUUCUGCUAGUGUUUAGGUACUAGUGCAGUGUAGAACCCUUUUCUCAGGCAAAACCUAACAUCUGACCGCACCCUUUUUGCUAUUAAAAAAAAAAAAAAGCUUCUAUUUUUUUCCUCCUGUCGUUAAGAUAAAUUCUCCAGUAGACAACCUCUCCCACUAAUUGUGUAUUAGCAACGUAUUUUAUCUUGAGAGCUUGUACACUGGGCUCUCAACGUGGUGUGGAAGGUAGCCUGUUACAGUGCUGGAUUCAUAAAAGGGCCUUUAUGGUUUGUGAAAGAAUAUCUGUGUGCUUAGGGAGGAAACUUUUUGAUCUGCAGAAAAGCCAGAAGACAUCUAGGACAUCCAUAAAAAUUCAUCAGAGAGCAUUUUACUACUGAGCUGCAAAGGUAGGAAAAAUAAAUUUUUUUUGGUUAGAAAAUAUACUUCUUUCAUCUGCGUUUCAAUAAUUUAUUCCCCUUGUUAGAUAUACAUGGAAUUGAUAUUGCUUAUUCUGACUAAGUGAAAAGUGUUAUUUCUACUUACUGCUCAAUUAGAAACAUGUAGUGUUUAAUUGUCAGUUUGAAUUUUUCUUUCAUACUAUUACAGUUUAUAUUUUACUAUAGGCAGAAUUUCCUCUUUAUCCUAAAUUUUGAUAUUCUCCAUAAUUUCAUCGUGCCUUGACAUUGCUGUAUAUAAUUUCUAUACAUCAGGAAGGCAAUUCUGUGUGCAUGUGUGUGUGUAUAUAUAUAGUUAGAAGUUAGAAA
rnacentral:lncRNA from 1 species